GUGGGGAAUCUUCCGCAAUGGACGAAAGUCUGACGGAGCAACGCCGCGUGAACGAUGACGGCCUUCGGGUUGUAAAGUUCUGUUAUACGGGACGAAUGGCGUAGCGGUCAAUACCCGUUACGAGUGACGGUACCGUAAGAGAAAGCCACGGCUAACUACGUGCCAGCAGCCGCGGUAAUACGUAGGUGGCAAGCGUUGUCCGGAAUUAUUGGGCGUAAAGGGCGCGCAGGCGGCGUCGUAAGUCGGUCUUAAAAGUGCGGGGCUUAACCCCGUGAGGGGACCGAAACUGCGAUGCUAGAGUAUCGGAGAGGAAAGCGGAAUUCCUAGUGUAGCGGUGAAAUGCGUAGAUAUUAGGAGGAACACCAGUGGCGAAAGCGGCUUUCUGGACGACAACUGACGCUGAGGCGCGAAAGCCAGGGGAGCAAACGGGAUUAGAUACCCGAGUAGUCC
rnacentral:rRNA from 1 species